ensembl:snRNA U2 U2 spliceosomal RNA
AUUGCUUCUCGGACUUUUGGCUAAGAUCAAGCGUAGUAUCUGUUCUUAUCAGUUUAACAUCUGAUAAGUUCUCUACCGAGAACAACGUAUUAAGCGGAUUUUUGGAGCAAGGAGUUGGAGUGGGAGCUUGCCUCGUCCACUCCACGCAUCGACCUGGUAUUGCAGUAUUUCCAGGACUGGUGCACCCCUC